UCUCUCGGGAGCCUCCACCCAGGCGCAUGGCUCCAUGAAGCAAGAGGAGGAGGCAGAGCGCGAGAGAUCCCGUCCGCCCCAGCCGCGUCUGGGCCAGGAGAAAAGCAAAACCAUAUUCCUGCUGCUGUCAGUUUUGAUGCACUGAGAAAACUUCAGAGACCUAAGCUUUUUCCAGAGAAGAGAAGCUUUACUGGUGUUCCAGCCCUAAGGUGAGACCAGCUUAUGCAUCCUGGUUUAUAUUUUAUUUUGUCGCCUUUAUUCUCUUUCUCUUUAUUUUUCUUUUCUUCUUUCUUACAUUGUAUUUCUGUUUGGAAAAGACCAUGUACAAACAGAGUAAUAUGUGGAUCCAUGCCUAUCCAUCUUAGUAUAAUCAUGUAUUCAUUGUACUUUGUUGUAUACAUUUGGUACGUAUUCUAAAUAUGGACAUAUGCUAUGUAUCAUAAUGUACAUAACCAUUUCUCUAUUGAUAGACUGUUACAGUAUUUUCAAUUUCUGAUAACAGCAAAAAUGAUCCUUCAGUUGCUAUCAUCAAUAUUUAUUUGUACAUAUCAAUGAUCAUUUUAGAGGAUUAAAAACAGAAGAAGAAUUUUUAGGGAAACCAUGUAUAGUUAAAAUGUGUAUAUACUUUUCACAUUUUCAUAGAUAAAGAGCAUCCCCAUUUUUUUCCCCACUAACAACAAGACAAGAUGGCUGGAGAAAAAUAAGUCACCAAAUAUCAUAAAGAUACUUGCAUGUUUUAUAAGUAAUUAAUAACUACUUUCUCAUAACAGUAAAAACUAUUUUGUUUUGUAUGAGAGGAUUUUUCUCUCUAAGUUUUAAAAAAUCAUUACAUGCAAAUAUAUCACAUCAAACCCAAAAGCCAUUGCUAGCACACUGGUUCCUGUCUUAAUAUUAAGUAUGAGAUAAAAGGCCUUUAUCUUCCAGAAGGUUGUUCAUAACAUGCCAAAUAUAUGAACACCCAAUAGUCAAAGGACAUUAUCUCUAUGAUGUAAUUUUGAAAGUUAUUAAAAUAAUUGUUUAUCAAUUUCAUCUUACAAGCACACAAUUUAAACCAUUCUUUUAAAGUGGAUUUUAGAAGAUUGGAAUAGGAAGUUAUAGAAGUCAAUCCCUCCACAAAAACUGCCAUUAAACUGGAAAAAAUAAGAAUUAACCUUUUUGGAACUCUGGAUCCUAAUCAGAUAAAUAACAACCAUUAGUAGACUGCUUGAUGCUGUUGGCCUUUAGUAAGAAAAUGGCUGUAUGCACACACCAGAUACCAUCACUCAUUCUUAUUCACAAGAGUCAAAAAGUGAAAACAAACCUGUAUGUGUAGAUAAACAAAAUGUGGCAUGUACAUACAAGGGAAGAUUAUUUAGCCAUAAAAAGGGAAUGAUGUUCUGAUACAUGUUUACAACAUGGGUAAACCUUGAAAAUAUUAUGCUAAAUAAAAUAA
ensembl:lncRNA NUTM2A-AS1 NUTM2A antisense RNA 1